AUACAAAACCAACGCCCUUCGGGGCUCCUUAGUGAAUCAUAAUAACUUAACGAAUCGCAUGGCCUUGCGCCGGCGAUGGUUCAUUCAAAUUUCUGCCCUAUCAACUUUCGAUGGUAGGAUAGUGGCCUACCAUGGUGG
rnacentral:rRNA from 1 species